GAGGGUGGGCCCCUCGGAGCCGCCGUGCAGGCGGAGGCUUCAAACAACCGCGAGCGGCGAGGGCACAACGGCCCUGGUCGUGAGCGUCGCGGAAAAGGCGUGGCCAAGACCACGUCAUG
rfam:Deltaproteobacteria bacterium RIFOXYA12_FTLL_58_15 rifixya3_full_scaffold_1535, whole genome shotgun sequence.